GAAAAUUUCAGAAUUGUUGGAAUCCAUUCCGUCAAGAAAACUCGAACUCGGGAAGGCACGCGUCGACCAUGUACCAGUCGAUACGGGGAGGUGUUCGAGAGCUGUGCAGUCACAGAGGGGUGUCGAUCCGGAGCGUCAGUCCUUGGUCGGUCUUUUAGAGUCCUUUGUUCGUUUUCAUAUUUAGAGUCUUUUGUAUUUUUCUUCAUAAUUGUAUUUUCCAUUUGAAAUAUUUGAUUUUAAUUUUGUAUUUCAUUUUUACAUUUGCAAUUUCCUUUGUAAUAUUUUCGAAACAAAUCUUCUUUCUCUUUUGUUUUAAUUGAAUGGUAUUUUUAUCCUUUUA